UUUAAGGUAAACUGUGGAUUUCCAUGUCAACGUUUGACUGUCUGUCUUAUAUGAAAUUUUUUUAUAAUUAGUAUUUUCAUUGUUGUUAGAUGAUAAAACAUAAUUAAUACUUUAUGCGUGACUUAUCUUUUUAAUUUUUUUCAUAAUUUUUUUAAAUAAG
rnacentral:pre_miRNA from 1 species